rnacentral:lncRNA from 1 species
GCUUUGAGCACACCAACAUGAAGGAGCUGGGAGGAAAAGAGGACUCAGUAAAGGACAUCAAGAUGGAGUAAUCAGGAAAGGAGAGAAUGAGGAGUGACGUUCUUAACCAGAAAACUUGUAUCCGCCCCGAAUAUGGAAUACCCUUUCUUUCCACAGGCC